CUUUAGAUGCCUCCAGCUCAGGGCAGUCCAUGUUGAGGUACUGCAAGUUUGGUAUGGUCCUGGAAGCACCAUGGCAUGAAAUGUAGGUUUCUGCCGGUACCUCGCAGAGGAAACCUGGCACUGCCCCAGCACAGUGCUGCGAGAGGGGCCUGAUAACUUCAAGACCAGUUUGACAGCACCUUCCACCCAGGGCCACACGUACUCAGCUGCUGGCACACCUUGGCGAGAAGGCCAAGCCUGGAAGUCAUCUCUGGACUCGAGCCCGGAAAAGCAUGUUUUGUUGAUUCCAAGAUCAGAGAGACUUUCAACAUCAGGCCUUCACACAAAGAGCUCUGACUGGUGUAGUAAUCACUGCCAUUCUAAGGCUGCCUAGAGAAAUAGAAGACAUUUAUGGCUAAAGGGAAAUAAAAUUAAGGCCUUCAGAGUGAAACAAGGCUGAAAGAAAUGAUAUUGCCUUAGGAAGCAAUUCUGCAGCUUGAGAAUAUCACAGACAGUAUCUUCAGGAAACAGCUGUCAGAACCAGGAUUGUCUAAUGGCAUCAUAAAGAAGUUUGUAACUGGCCUGAAGAUGCUUCAAGAAUCAAGAGACCACCUUCAUGACACAGCGUCAUUUGAACAGCCUCAGGAGAAGGGCUAGGAACAGUUAGUCCAAGAAGGGAGAAAACAAGAC
rnacentral:lncRNA from 1 species